rnacentral:rRNA from 1 species
UACGUAGGGGGCAAGCGUUGUCCGGAAUCAUUGGGCGUAAAGCGCGUGUAGGCGGUCUGUCGCGUCUGCUGUGAAAAUCCGGGGCUCAACCCCGGACUUGCAGUGGGUACGGGCAGACUAGAGUGUGGUAGGGGAGACUGGAAUUCCUGGUGUAGCGGUGAAAUGCGCAGAUAUCAGGAGGAACACCGAUGGCGAAGGCAGGUCUCUGGGCCACUACUGACGCUGAGGAGCGAAAGCAUGGGGAGCGAACAGG